GGCUGUCGUUCAGUGCCAGAACAUUUGCUUUGCACAUACAAGGUCUCGGGUUCAAAUCCGGGCACGGCCA